rnacentral:rRNA from 1 species
GAAAGCCCGCAGAGAUGCGGGGGUGCCCUCGGGCAUCCGAAGACAGGUGGUGCAUGGUGUCGUCAGCUCGUGUCGUGAGAUGUGGGUAAAGUCCGCAACGAGCGCAAACCCUUAUGGUCAGGUAACUAACGCGUCAGUCUAGUAGACUCUGACAAGACUGCCGGGGACAACUCGGAGGAAGGUGGGGACGACGUCAAAUCAUCAUGCCCCUUAUGACCUGGGCUACAAACGUGCUACAAUGGUGACUACAAAGAGGAGCGAGGCUGUAAAGCGGAGCGGAUCUCAAAAAAGUCAUCCCAGUUCGGAUUGUGGGCUGCAACCCGCCCACAUGAAGUGGAGUUGCUAGUAAUCGCGGAUCAGCAUGCCGCGGUGAAUACGUUCCCGGGCCUUGUACACACCGCCCGUCACACCAUGGGAGUUGGGAGCACCCGAAGUCAGUGAGGUAACCGCAAGGAGCCAGCUGCCGAAGGUGAGACCGAUGACUGGGGUGAAGUCGUAACAAGGUAACCU